rnacentral:rRNA from 1 species
CAGUAGCCGCGGUAAUACCAGCAGCCCAAGUGGUGGUCGCGAUUAUUGGGCCUAAAGCGCUCGUAGCCGGGCCGGUAAGUCCCUUGUGAAAUCGGACGGCCUAACCGUUCGGCGUGCAAGGGAUACUGUCGGUCUUGAGGCCGGGAGACGUCCGAGGUACUCCGGGGGUAGCGGUGAAAUGUUCUAAUCCUCGGGGGACCACCGGUGGCGAAGGCGUUCGACGAGAACGGGCCUGACGGUGAGGGGCGAAGGCUAGGGGAGCAAACGGGAUUAGAUACCCGCGUAGUCCCUGUCUCUUAUU